rnacentral:lncRNA from 1 species
AAGCAUAUAAUAAAUUUUUCAGAAUUUUAAAAUACAGAAAAGUAUUUUUAAACCAAUUAAAACAAAGGAGAAAAGAGAAAAUUCAUGAAAAAUAGAAAAUCAGUGAAAUAAAAUGUGGAAAAAUUAAAAAUCUUAUAAAGAAAAAUAAAAGAGAAUUUUAAAAAUUAUUUUGGAAUUUUUUGGAUAAAAAAUGAAAUUAUUAUGAAUUUUUAAAGAAAAAUCAAUUUAAAA